AGCGAACGCUGGCGGCAGGCCUAACACAUGCAAGUCGAACGAAGUCUUCGGACUUAGUGGCGGACGGGUGAGUAACACGUGGGAACGUGCCUUUAGGUUCGGAAUAACUCAGGGAAACUUGGGCUAAUACUGAAUGCGCCCUUCGGGGGAAAGAGUUAUCGCCUUUAGAGCGGCCCGCAUCUGAUUAGCUAGUUGGUGGGGUAAAGGCUCACCAAGGUGACGAUCAGUAGAUGGUCUGAGAGGAUGAUCAGCCACACUGGGACUGGGACACGGCCCAGACUCCUACGGGAGGCAGCAGUGGGGAAUAUUGGACAAUGGGCGCAAGCCUGAUCCAGCCAUGCCGCGAGAGUGAUGAAGGUCUUAGGAUUGUAAAGCUCUUUCACCGAUGAAGAUCAUGACGGUAGUCGGAGAAGAAGCCCCGGCAAACUUCGUGCCAGCCGCCGCAGUAAAAC
rnacentral:rRNA from 1 species